UACGGAGGAUGCGAGCGUUAUCCGGAUUUAUUGGGUUUAAAGGGUGCGUAGGCGGUUUUUUAAGUUAGUGGUUAAACGUCGGGGCUUCACCUUGAUUUGCCAUUAAUACUGUAAGACUCGAGUUCAGACGAGGUAGGCGGAAUAAGUUAAGUAGCGGUGAAAUGCAUAGAUAUAACUUAGAACUCCGAUCGCGAAGGCAGCCUACCGGCGCGCAACUGACGCUCAUGCACGAAAGCGUGGGUAUCGAACAGG
rnacentral:rRNA from 1 species